AUAGGCCUCCUCUCUAUGCUUC
rnacentral:miRNA from 1 species